GUGGGGAAUAUUGCGCAAUGGGCGGAAGCCUGACGCAGCGACGCCGCGUGGGGGAUGACGGCCUUCGGGUUGUAAACCUCUUUCAGUAGGGACGAAGCGGAAGUGACGGUACCUACAGAAGAAGCACCGGCCAACUACGUGCCAGCAGCCGCGGUAAUACGUAGGGUGCAAGCGUUGUCCGGAAUUAUUGGGCGUAAAGAGCUCGUAGGCGGUUUGUUGCGUCGGCUGUGAAAUCCCGAGGCUCAACCUCGGGUCUGCAGUCGAUACGAGCAAACUAGAGUGUUGCAGGGGAGACUGGAAUUCCUGGUGUAGCGGUGAAAUGCGCAGAUAUCAGGAGGAACACCGGUGGCGAAGGCGGGUCUCUGGGCAACAACUGACGCUGAGGAGCGAAAGCGUGGGGAGCGAACAGGAUUAGAUACCCUGGUAGUCCACGCCGUAAACGUUGGGCGCUAGGUGUGGGGCUCAUUCCACGAGUUCCGUGCCGCAGCUAACGCAUUAAGCGCCCCGCCUGGGGAGUACGGCCGCAAGGC
rnacentral:rRNA from 1 species